rnacentral:lncRNA from 1 species
ACACCUUUUGCACAUUUGUAUCUAUUGAUCUUUUCAAAUGAGAUUCCUUCAAAACUUUAUGAUUUAGAAUGUUCUCCGAUUUAUACAGAAUUUGCAGGAGGAACAUCUAGUGUCAAAAAUAGAUUUUUAUUUUUAAUUUCUCAUAUUGACUUUUCAAAAUCUACCUGGAGGGUAUUUGAUGCUGAUUAUGAAGUGAGACUCCAAGUUGAGUCUUCCUUCCCCAAAGAAGCCUUCCAAUUUCCACUAACUGCUUUAUCUCUGCCAUCUACACCCGGGCUCACAGCGCACACGCACCAGUACACAAGCGCACAUGCGUUCCUCUAAGACAUCUUUGGAUCUUAAAUGGAUGCAUUCCUGGAUACCUAUUUAUUUCUACUGGCAGCUCAUCUUGCAAGUCCCAUUUAUUUCACAGAUAAGAACACUGAGACUUAGAGAGCAGAUUAAUUUUCACAGUCACCCAGUUUGUUAGAGGAACGUCUUGGAGGACAACAAACCCAGAGCAACCCCAGCUAGUGCCACCCACUCACCUCACAGGGCUGGGUCCUUCCUCUCCUGAGACACCACAGCCAACAACAUUGCUUGGUUCUGUCCUGUCUAAUUAGACUUACAGGAUCCAACGCAGUAAGCAGCAGCCACAGGUGCACCGAGAGUCUGAAAUGUUUCUAGUCCAAAUUGAGCUGUGCCAGGGGAGUUGGGCACACGGGGAUUGAAAGACCCAGUGAGGGAAAGAAGAGGACACGGAACGCCUCACGGAUGGAUUUGGCAGCCAAGACCCGUUGACCCGAGAGUAUGUCCAACAUGUUGAG